AGCGAACGCUGGCGGCAGGCUUAACACAUGCAAGUCGAACGGGCGUAGCAAUACGUCAGUGGCAGACGGGUGAGUAACGCGUGGGAACGUACCUUUUGGUUCGGAACAACACAGGGAAACUUGUGCUAAUACCGGAUAAGCCCUUACGGGAAGGAUUAUCGCCGAAGAUCGGCCCGCGUCUGAUUAGCUAGUUGGUGAGGUAACGGCUCACCAAGGCGACGAUCAGUAGCUGGUCUGAGAGGAGUGAUCAGCCACAUUGGGACGUGAGACACGGCCCAAACUACCUACGGGAGGCAGCAGUGGGGAAGUAUUGGAC
rnacentral:rRNA from 1 species